rnacentral:rRNA from 1 species
CCUACGGGGGGCAGCAGUGAGGAAUAUUGGUCAAUGGACGAGAGUCUGAACCAGCCAAGUAGCGUGAAGGAUGACUGCCCUAUGGGUUGUAAACUUCUUUUAUAUGGGAAUAAAAUGUUCCACGUGUGGGAUUUUGUAUGUACCAUAUGAAUAAGGAUCGGCUAACUCCAUGCCAGCAGCCGCGGUAAUACGGAGGAUCCGAGCGUUAUCCGGAUUUAUUGGGUUUAAAGGGAGCGUAGGUGGAUUGUUAAGUCAGUUGUGAAAGUUUGCGGCUCAACCGUAAAAUUGCAGUUGAAACUGGCAGUCUUGAGUACAGUAGAGGUGGGCGGAAGUCGUGGUGUAGCGGUGAAAUGCUUAGAUAUCACGAAGAACUCCGAUUGCGAAGGCAGUUCACUGGACUGCAACUGACACUGAGGCUCGAAAGUGUGGGUAUCAAACAGGAUUAGAUACCCUGUAGUC